GUUAACUUACUGUCGGGAGGAAGGGGAUGUGCAAGAUCCACCUCAUGGGAGAUACAACACCGUUCUAUCAUCCACAGCCACUGCAUCUUCAUUUCUUCCCCUCUCAUUUACUAGUGAACCACAUCUUGACUAGGGUUAGACAAAGAGGUCAACAUGGCUGGAGCUAUAGUGAGUGUUUCAACUGGUGCCCUGAGCACCCUGCUUCCUAAGCUCUCCCUGUUGAUACAAGGGGAGUACAAGCUUCUCAAAGGCGUGAAAGGUGGGAUCUCCUUUCUGAAGGAUGAGCUGAGCAGCAUGCAUACCCUGCUGGUGAAGCUGGCGAACAACGAGGAGAAGUUGGAUGAGCAGGUGAAGGAUUGGAGGAACAAGGUGCGUGAGCUUAGCUAUGAUAUUGAAGACUGCAUCGACCUUUUCCUGCACAAGGUGAGCAGUUCUAAUGCUAAAGCGGGCCUUGUCCGGAAGAUGGCAGCUAAAAUUAGAAAGUUAUGGUGGCGCGGUGGCGCCACAAAAUCGCGAACCUAAUUGAAGAACUUAAGGCUCGUGUUAUAGAAGAAAGUUAUCGCCGCUCGAGGUAUAAUUUUGAUGAAGUUGCUGAAAAAUUUAGCCAUAUUCAAAUUGAUCCUCGACUCCCAGUGCUCUAUGUGGAAGCAGAGAAGCUUGUGGGGAUCGAUGGUCCUAGAGAGAAGAUUAUCGAGUGGCUGGAAAAUGAUGAAUCUCAUAAGCUCAAAGUAGUAUGCAUUGUGGGCUUUGGAGGUCUUGGAAAGACAACUCUUGCAAACCAAGUUUAUCACAAAAUGAAAGGUCAAUUUGAUUGUUCUUCUUUUAUGCCAAUUUCACGGAAUCCUAAUAUAACAAAGAUACUAGCUGAUUUGCUCAAAGAAUUGGGAAGUAGUGUUGAUACAUCAGAUGAUGAGCGGCAGCUCAUAUGCAAGCUCAGAACAUUCCUACAGUGUAAGAGGUACUUGGUCAUUGUUGAUGAUAUUUGGAGCACAAAAGCAUGGGAAGUUGUCAAGUGUGCUCUCCCAGAGAACAAUUUAUGCAGUAGAAUAAUUUCAACGACAAGAAAUGCAGAUGUUGCAACAUCAUGCUGCUCCAGUUUAGCAGGAUAUAUCCAUAACAUGCAGCCCUUAAAUGAGCAGGACUCUCAAAAGCUAUUUUAUAAGAGGAUUUUUGGGGACAAGUUAGCAUGCCCUCCUUACCUUGAACAAGUCUCUCAUGGAAUCAUUAGCAAGUGCCAUGGAUUGCCAUUAGCUCUUAUCAGUAUAGCUAGCCUGCUAGCUGGAAAAUCACGUCUGAAGGAGCAAUGGGAGCAAGUGUACAAUUCUAUUGGUUUUGCAUUUAGUCAACAAGGAAUUAGAGAUAUACUGCUGCUUAGCUACUAUGAUCUUCCGAUUCAUCUGAAAACUUGCUUGCGAUAUCUUAGUGUAUUUCCAGAGGAUUACGAGAUUGAUAGAGAAGAGCUAAUAUGGAGAUGGAUAGCUGAAGGCUUCAUCAGUGAAGUGAAAGGUCAAACACUGGAUCAAGUUGCUGAGAAUUACUUCAAUGAUCUUGUAAACAGAAGCAUGAUCCAUCCAGUUGACAUCAAGUACGAUGGCAGGGCAGAUGCUUGUAAACUGCAUGAUAUGGUACUCGACCUUAUAAUUUCCCUGUCAACACAGGACAAUUUCACCACCAUAGUAGAAGGGGAACAAUAUAAAUGUCCUCCUAAUAAGAUUCGUAGGCUCUCAAUACAUUCAAAAUGUCUGGAAGAUGAAGUAAUGCAGGAGAUUAUGACAAAUUGCUCACAAGUUCGUUCCAUCAGCUUCUACGGAUUGCAAGAUCAGGAAAUUAGUCUUCUCCCAACUCUUAAUUCUUUGAGAUUACUAGCUUUUGAAAACUAUUGGCACCGACAUGGUAACAAAAACAUUAAAUAUCUUGGAAGGUUUUUCCAGCUGACAUAUUUGAAGAUCAAAUCUAUCACUGAGCUUCCAGAGCAAAUCGGAGACCUGCGAAAUCUACUGACACUAGACAUACGUAGCAGUAGGGUUGAAAAAUUGCCAUCAACAAUAGGUUGUUUGAAAAAUCUGGUGCGUCUACUUGUAGAUUAUAAUGUGGAAUUGCCCAAUGAGAUUGGAGAUCUACAAGCCUUGCAGCAGCUGUCACGUGCUUCCGUAGUAUUUGUUGAACAGCUGAAGCGGUUGACAAACCUAAGGGCGAUUGACAUAGACCUGCGUGGUAGCGAACAACUUGGUGAUCAUGAUACGGCAAGGUAUAUGGAAGCUUUGAAGUCAUCUCUUGCUGUGAUGGGUAAGCUUCAAAUAUUGCAAAUAUCCUAUGGUAAUGAUACGGUGAUAGGAGAAAAACUCAUGGAUUUAUUAUGCUACUCACCAUGCGUCCGAAAGCUUGUCAUAGAUAAUUGCAUAUUCAGUCGGCUAUCAAAGCAGCUGGGGUUGCUUGUUAACCUCAGGCAUCUUGAAAUAGGGGUUCGCAACAUUAAGCAGGACGAUCUCUGCGUUCUUGGAAGCAUACCCACUCUGCUCUUCGUCAGGUUAUUUGUAAAAAAUGAACCUGAUGAAAGGCUUGCCAUCGGCAGCCAUCAAUUCCGAUGCCUCAAGCAGUUCAUCUUCAAAAACCACGGAGGUGGGCUGGAGAUGUUGUUUAUGCAGGAAGCAAUGCCUGAGCUCCGAUGGUUGUCUCUUGAAUUCAGAGCGCGACUAACAGACUGCAAGAUGGGUUUUGAGUUCGACUUCAAGCACCUUGCAAGCCUGGAGCACCUCGAAGUCUCAAUCAAUUGCCAUUUCGCCACCUGGAGUGGGGUGGAGGCUGCAGAAGCUGCGGUCAGGAAUGCAGCCAGUGCCCACCCAGGAUGUCCCACAGUAGAAAUCAAUAGAGUCUGGGAAAGUUACAUGGUAGAUAAUGAGCAAGGAGGAGGCGUGACAUAUGAUCAAUAACUGAAAUUGCAGUUUGCAACAACACCUUAUGUGAGAUUCCACUUCUACUGCUGCUUAUAAUUUGCCUGAGACUGAGGCUAAACUGCUAGCCACAUGAUCACUAUUGAUGCAUGGUAACUAAGUAAUCAGAGCUUCCAACUCAGAAUCAUCAUCAUUUGGUUUUGUCUAAUUACUACUGGUAUGUCAAUACUGGAGUAGAUCUUCCAGAUUUUGAUUUGUAAACACAUUGAGCUUUAAGAUUUCAAAUGUGGGUAGCCUGACUGUCAAUGAGCACAUCUUGCUUGAGUUGCACUUUACUCAACGAGUCGACGUACACUGAAAGUCUGCAAGACAUUAUUAAUCACUUCUACAAUUACUAAACUUGUCUAAAUGGAUCAAGACAAGAAAAUAUGCACUAAUGAUUUAUUGCUGCAACAAUUGUAACCGACAAAAAAGAAAAGAUAUAUCUUAGAGCUUACAAUGGAACACUGGAGCAGUUGGUAACACUUUAUAUGACAAUAUCGAUUAUCAGGGCAGAAUGAAUAUCUUGCCUGCAAAUGGAGCGUCAUGGGUGUUAUCACAGUAUUCAGUUGUGAUGAUUGUUGCUCAAUGUUCUUUGUUUCUUAUGUAUGGUACAAGUCAAGGUAAACUAGACCAAGGUUUAAUUUAGUGCUUUCUACUUUUAA